GCCGAUUGGCGCAGUGGGCAGUGAAGAUGGCUAUGAAACACUCGGUCGGGGUUCAAACCCCUGCGGUG